UCAUGAAGGGUUUGAUCCUGGCUCAGGACUAACGCUGGUGGUGUGUCUAAGCCAUGCAAGUCGAGCGGACCGUAAGCGUUUUAUUACACUUACGGUCAGCGGCGGACGGGUGAGUAACGCGUGAGUAACCUGCCUUAAAGUUUGGGAUAGCCUUGAGAAAUUGGGGGUAAUACCAAAUAAUACCAAUGGUUGAAAGACUUAUUGGUUAAAGAUGGCCUCUGCUUGCAAGCUAUCACUUUAUGAGGGGCUCGCGUCCUAUUAGCUAGUUUGUGAGGUAAAGGCUCACAAAGGCUAUGAUGGGUAGCCGGCUUGAGAGGGUGAUCGGCCACGCUGGGACUGAGAACGGCCCAGGCUCCUACGGGAGGCAGCAGGCUAGAAAUUUGACCAAUGGACGCAAGUCUGAGUCAGCGACACCACUUGGGGGAUUUGAAGGCUUUCGGGUCGUAAACCCCUGUCAAAAAGGAAGAUGGUCUGGAAGUUCAAUAAACUUCCAGAUUGACUGUACUUUUAAUAGGAAGCCACGGCUAAUUCCGUGCCAGCAGCCGCGGUAAAACGGAAGUGGCAAGCGUUGUCCGAAAUCACUGGGCGUAAAGCGGGCGUAGGCGGGUAAAUAAGUUGGAUGUGAAAACCAGCUGCUCAACGGCUGACCUGCAUUCAAAACUAUUUACCUUGAGUCUGACAGAGGGGAGUGGAACUUCUGGUGUAGCGGUGGAAUGCGUAGAUAUCAGAAGGAACACCAAAGGCGAAGGCAGCUCUCUGGGUCAAGACUGACGCUGAGGCACGAAAGCUAGGGGAGCAAACGGGAUUAGAUACCCCGGUAGUCCUAGCCGUAAA
rnacentral:rRNA from 1 species